GGCCUACGGCCCCCUCCCCCGCCCGCCGACUCUACGGCUGGCUUUACAUUUGCUCCGUAGCGGGCCUAGCUGUGUGGACCUCUAGCUAGUAGGGGCUGGAACCCCGAAAUUUAGCCGCGCUUUCCCAAAAUCGAGGUCCAAGACAAGCCGGCCAGUCAGUUUUUGUUUCUGUUUGAUGUUUUCCAUGCUCCAUCAUGUUGAGGGCUAAGACUCGGCUCUUUUUGCUUUCACCUCAUCACUUGAAGCAACUAAAAGAGUCAUCAGUCUCCAGGGUUUUAUGGCAGCGACUUCUACACCAGCAACAACCCCUUCACCCAGAGUGGGCUGUCCUUGCUAAAAAGCAGCUGAAAGGCAAAAAUCCAGAAGACCUAAUAUGGCGCACCCCAGAAGGAAUCUCCAUAAAGCCCUUAUAUUCCAGCAGGGAUACCAAGGAUUUACCUGAAGAACUUCCAGGAGUGGAGCCGUUCACACGGGGACCAUAUCCCACUAUGUACACCUUUAGGCCCUGGACCAUCCGCCAAUAUGCUGGCUUUAGUACUGUCGAAGAGAGCAAUAGGUUCUAUAAGGACAAUAUUAAAGCCGGUCAGCAGGGAUUAUCAGUUGCCUUUGAUCUGGCAACACAUCGUGGCUAUGAUUCAGACAACCCUCGAGUUCGUGGUGAUGUUGGAAUGGCCGGAGUUGCUAUUGACACUGUGGAAGAUACCAAAAUUCUUUUUGAUGGAAUUCCUUUAGAAAAAAUGUCAGUUUCCAUGACCAUGAAUGGAGCAGUUAUUCCAGUUCUUGCAAACUUUAUAGUGACUGGAGAAGAGCAAGGUGUACCUAAAGAGAAACUUACGGGUACAAUUCAAAAUGAUAUUCUAAAGGAGUUUAUGGUCAGAAAUACUUAUAUUUUUCCUCCAGAACCAUCCAUGAAAAUUAUUGCUGACAUCUUCCAAUAUACAGCAAAGCACAUGCCAAAAUUUAAUUCAAUUUCAAUCAGUGGAUAUCACAUGCAGGAAGCAGGAGCCGAUGCCAUUCUGGAACUGGCCUAUACUAUAGCAGAUGGAUUGGAGUACUGUAGAACUGGGCUCCAAGCUGGCCUGACAAUUGAUGAAUUUGCACCAAGGUUGUCUUUCUUCUGGGGAAUUGGGAUGAACUUCUAUAUGGAAAUAGCAAAAAUGAGAGCUGGGAGAAAACUCUGGGCUCACUUAAUAGAGAAAAUCUUUCAGCCUAAAAACUCUAAAUCUCUUCUUCUAAGAGCACAUUGUCAGACUUCAGGAUGGUCACUUACUGAGCAGGAUCCUUACAAUAACAUUAUUCGUACCACAAUAGAAGCAAUGGCGGCAGUGUUUGGAGGGACUCAGUCAUUGCACACAAAUUCUUUUGAUGAAGCCUUGGGUUUGCCAACUGUAAAAAGUGCUCGAAUUGCCAGGAACACACAAAUCAUCAUUCAAGAAGAAUCUGGGAUUCCUAAAGUGGCUGAUCCUUGGGGAGGUUCAUAUAUGAUGGAAUCUCUCACAAAUGAUGUUUACGAUGCUGCCCUGAAGCUCAUUAAUGAAAUUGAAGAAAUGGGUGGAAUGGCUAAAGCUGUAGCAGAGGGAAUACCUAAACUUCGAAUUGAAGAAUGUGCUGCCCGAAGACAAGCUAGAAUAGAUUCUGGUUCUGAAGUAAUUGUUGGAGUAAAUAAGUACCAGCUGGAACAAGAAGAACCUGUGGAUGUUAUGAUGAUUGAUAAUACUUCAGUGCGUAACAAGCAGAUUGAAAAACUUAAGAAGGUCAAAUCUAGCAGAGACCAAGCUUUGGCUGAACGGUGCCUUGCUGCGCUUACUGAAUGUGCUGCCAGUGGAGAUGGGAACAUUCUGGCGCUUGCAGUGGAUGCAGCUCGUGCAAGGUGUACAGUUGGAGAAAUCACAGAUGCCAUGAAAAAGGUAUUUGGUGAACAUAAAGCUAAUGAUCGUAUGGUGAGUGGAGCCUAUCGCCAGGAAUUUGGAGAAAGUAAAGAGAUAUCAUUUGCUAUCAAGAGGGUUCAUAAAUUCAUGGAACGUGAAGGUCGCAGACCUCGUCUUCUUGUGGCAAAAAUGGGACAAGAUGGACAUGACAGAGGAGCAAAAGUUAUUGCUACAGGAUUUGCUGAUCUUGGUUUUGAUGUGGACAUAGGUCCUCUUUUUCAGACUCCCCUAGAAGUGGCCCAGCAGGCUGUGGAUGCAGACGUGCAUGCUGUGGGUGUGAGCACACUUGCUGCUGGCCAUAAGACCCUAGUUCCUGAGCUCAUCAAACAGCUUAACUCCCUUGGACGGCCAGAUAUUCUCGUCAUGUGUGGAGGAGUGAUACCACCACAGGAUUAUGAAUUUCUGCUUGAAGUUGGUGUUUCCAAUAUAUUUGGCCCUGGGACUCGAAUUCCAAAGGCCGCUGUUCAAGUACUUGAUGAUAUUGAGAAGUGUUUGGAAAAGAAGCAGCAAUCUAUCACUGGAGCUGCAGAAGCUUUUCUGGCUUUGGAAGUGUACUAGCAUGAUGUCUUUAGGGCACUCUGAAGACAUCAAAAUCCUUUCUGUGCAACCUAAUGGAAAUUUAAGUGUUGUAUAAAUAUAACAGUAUUAUAGGAAGUGAGGAAGAGGUUUGAAGAAGAAUUCUUUCAGAACAAAACCUGAAUGGAAAUAGGAAUGAGAAAGUAACCAACAGAAAAUACAAUGAAUUCUCCUUCCUUCGAUUUCCAUUUCAGGAAAGGGGGAUUUUUGUAAUGAAGAGGAGAGAUAAGAGGAGUUGUUAAAGACCUCUGGAUCUAUGUAUCCACAAACAAUAUUAUGCCAUUAGUCACCAUCACCCUCCACUAGUAUCUUUAAAUUCCUAUCCACUUCAUACUAAAAACCUUUUUAAAAAAUUAAAAAGAGACCUAAUAAAGCCAUUUAUAUUAAGGCAUAAAUAUCUAUGUAGGAUUGUUCAUUUUACCAGGGAUACUUUAUUUUAAAUGAGGAAAAACUUAUAAAGAAUAUCUAAGAAUACUUAUUGCUAUUUGGUAGAUAGUAAAAAUGAUGAUGAUGAUGAUGAUGAUGAUGAUGACUAAUGUUAUUUCUACUAAUAGGUAAAUCCUGACCCAUUUCCAAAGAAUUAUGGAUCAUCCUUUAGGCCGUUAGACAAAGCUGAUUUUCUAAGUAGCCUAAAGGUGUCUCCCUAAGUCCGGGAUUCUUCUAUGUCCUUGAAACAAUAUUUGAAAUGAUGCCCAUCCUAUAGACCUGUAGGUGCUAUAAACACUCUCAUAAAAAGCACACCUCUAAUAAUCUGCUUAGAUACAUCUAAUGUCACCCUUUGUGAUCUGUGGUUAGUAAAACUAAAUGUUGGUAAUUGUUCACAAACUGCUGCAUUCAAGUUAAAAUGAUUAGUUCAUUAGCAGUGAAACUAGAAUAUGACCUCGGAUAUGAGAUUAUUAUUGAAUUUUAUUUAAUAAAUCCAUCCCUAAUUCACACUGACUCAUUUUAAAUAAGUCAAAUAAGCAUUGCAUAUGUCUACAGAAGAAAGACAUUUUGUUGUUCAAUUCUUUCUGUGAAUGGAAAGCUUAAGCUAGAGCUUGCUUAGAAGGGUAGAAGAGUAGAGUAACGAUGAUGAUAUUCUCUGGCUUUCUAGACUAUAUUUACCUGAUUUCAAUGUGUCUCAUUGUCCCCUUUAGUUUUGUCAUUCUAAUUAGACCAUGUGGUCAUCAAAGCAAUGUUAAUGACACUAUUCUGUCAGAAUAAAUGAUUAUCUAGACAGUAAAUUUUGAAGGA